rnacentral:rRNA from 1 species
UACGGGGGGGGUAAGCGUUGUUCGGAAUUACUGGGCGUAAAGGGCUCGUAGGUGGCCAACUAAGUCAGACGUGAAAUCCCUCGGCUUAACCGGGGAACUGCAUCUGAUACUGGAUGGCUUGAGUUUGGGAGAGGGACGCGGAAUUCCAGGUGUAGCGGUGAAAUGCGUAGAUAUCUGGAGGAACACCGGUGGCGAAGGCGGCAUCCUGGACCGACACUGACGCUGAGGAGCGAAAGCCAGGGGAGCAAACGGG